UAAUCAGAAUUCCCCUUCUUGUGGUGCUCUCUGUGAAUUCUUGAUCAGGUUAUCAUUUGAUGGGUUCAAGAGCUACAAAGAUGAAGUUUCUAUAGAUGCAUUCAGCCCUAAAGUACAUCAUGUUGGAAAUUUGAGGUUGACUUUCUUCUUCUUGCUGGUUAUUUGAAACUUACACCCAUUACACUGGUUCGGGCAUAUCCAAGAUCUAUAUUAGCAUUCAUCUCUUUUCUUCCUGCUUUUGCGGGCAAAGCAUAUUAUGGCUUAAAGGUGCACAAAGCUGUUACUGCAUCUUGGGUCUAGAUAUUCUGGCCCCACAGUUCACUUUAUAGAUGAGCGCUGUGUUUCUGGCCAUAUCCUUGCUUAGACGGUUGUGCCCGUGUUAUCUAAGUUGUACUGCAGAGCAGUUGGGUGCAAGAGUCCAUCGGGUACUCUACCUGUUUACUUGUAGUGUUCAAACACAAGUUUCUGGUUUAUGUGUUCAAAUGCAUUCCUGGAAACGAAUUGCAUUUUUCCCGUGACUCCACUUUUUGGAUGCGAUUUCCUAAUGUGGAUUUAGAGGGGAUGAAGUAAUUACUGAGACAAUGCUAGUGCUGUCAGGGAUUAUGUUUAAUGCAAAAUUCUAAAAUUCUUGCAUUUUAGGAGCAUCAAAUCUGCAUGGGGAUUGUUUCAACAUAAUGUGUGGAGCGAAUUGUUGGGAGAGGAUUGAUUCCCACUGUUUUGCAGCAAGGAGAACCCCGAUGCGUAUUACAAACCAAAGGGUUCUGAAUCAAUUUGUUUCCCUUCAGCCAUAAUCUUGAGUGGUCCGUACGGGGGCCUGGAUUUUUUUUCAAGGACAGAGGAGGCCGCAUGACGUGGACAUGGACAUGGCUCAGCUUCUGCUCCUGCCUGAGCGCGGCGUCCUCGCCUCCCCUUGCCACCACCUUGGUCGACGCUUGCCGCCAUCCAAUGCUUCCACGCUGCUGACAACCCCGAUCUCUUCGUCAAAUCCUCCGUCGCCCGCUUCGAUCGUUCCUCCGGGGCGUUCAGUUCAGCCCCGUCCCAGCUCUGCAUCCCGCUUUGCCUUCCUGUGCGGUCCCCACGUCCAGCAACACGUCAUCCAUGAGGCAUCAUCCAUGGUGCCCGGCUUCGGCUGGCCUUGUCACCGCUGGGUGGUGGUCUCCAGAGCUCAGGCACCCCACGAUAAGCUCCGAUGCGAUGCGCUGGAAGCGGAGUCUGCUGCCGAAAGGGAUGUUGUCCAACGGCUUCUUCGAUGGAAAAGAACGCCGCCGCCUUUCAGCAACCGAGACGUGGCAGGCCAGCUGGGACCAGCGCCGGUGGCUGAGUUGGCUCGACUCAAAUGGAGCCCAGGUCCGUGGUGGGCGAUGGAAAUAGGUAGACCAUCCUCCGUCGACUCGACUCAAAUGAUCAGAUUACAUGUCAUUGUUCAUUAGCCUUUCCACCAUCUUAAUUAGACUGUUUUGCUAUAUUCAUAAUCUUCAUACGGCAAGGACAUAUUUCCUGUAAAUUCAAUAAAAUUGUUUUGGAUAGCA